rnacentral:rRNA from 1 species
GAUGAACGCUGGCGGCGUGCCUAAUACAUGCAAGUCGAGCGAACGGACGAGAAGCUUGCUUUUCUAUGUUAGCGGCGGACGGGUGAGUAACACGUGGAUAACCUACCUAUAAGACUGGGAUAACUUCGGGAAACCGGAGCUAAUACCGGAUAAUAUUUUGAACCGCAUGGUUCAAAAGUGAAAGACGGUCUUGCUGUCACUUAUAGAUGGAUCCGCGCUGCAUUAGCUAGUUGGUAAGGUAACGGCUUACCAAGGCAACGAUGCAUAGCCGACCUGAGAGGGUGAUCGGCCACACUGGAACUGAGACACGGUCCAGACUCCUACGGGAGGCAGCAGUAGGGAAUCUUCCGCAAUGGGCGAAAGCCUGACGGAGCAACGCCGCGUGAGUGAUGAAGGUCUUCGGAUCGUAAAACUCUGUUAUUAGGGAAGAACAUAUGUGUAAGUAACUGUGCACAUCUUGACGGUACCUAAUCAGAAAGCCACGGCUAACUACGUG